UAAAAAUUCGUACCGAACUGC
rnacentral:siRNA from 1 species